CAAUAGCGUAUAUUUAAGUUGUUGCAGUUAAAAAGCUCGUAGUUGGAUUUCGGGUAGGAUUUGCCGGUCCGUCUUUGAGAUGUGUACUGGUAAGUCCUAUCUUCUUGUCGGGGACCAGCUCCUGGGCUUCACUGUCCGGGACUGGGAGCCGACGAAGUUACUUUGAGUAAAUUAGAGUGUUCAAAGCAAGCCUACGCUCUGAAUAUAUUAGCAUGGAAUAAUAAGAUAGGACCUUGGUACUAUUUUGUUGGUUUGCGCACCGAGGUAAUGAUUAAUAGGGACAGUUGGGGGUAUUCGUAUUGCAUUGUCAGAGGUGAAAUUCUUGGAUUUUUGCAAGACGAACGACUGCGAAAGCAUUUACCAAGGAUGUUUUCAUUA
rnacentral:rRNA from 1 species